rnacentral:lncRNA from 1 species
GAGGACAUAAGUUUAUUUUGAAUAUAAUUUUGGAGGCAGAUUUUGUCACAUACUGCAAAUUUGCAGACAGUCUUUUAAAAAAAAAAAAAAAAAAAAAAAAGCCUUUUUCCAUAGGAUAAUGCCUGUUUCUGUCAAAGUUUUGCAGGUAAAGAAAAAUUGAGAGCAAGAGAAAGGAGGGGGUACCCAUUCUGCUACCACUGCAACUGAAUAAUACAUGUCCAUUUGACAAGCAACGCUCACAGAUCAUCUUACAGAACAGAAUAUGAUUAAGAUAGGAAUAUUACUUGUAAGGAAGACAGAUCACACCUUCAUUCAGAAAAGAAAGAACUUGGAUAAAUAGAAGACUCCAGUCAUUUUUUAUCUCUUUCAAAUGAUA